GACGAACGCUGGCGGCGUGCUUAACACAUGCAAGUCGAACGGAAAGGCCCUGCUUUUGUGGGGUGCUCGAGUGGCGAACGGGUGAGUAACACGUGAGUAACCUGCCCUUGACUUUGGGAUAACUUCAGGAAACUGGGGCUAAUACCGGAUAGGAGCUCCUGCUGCAUGGUGGGGGUUGGAAAGUUUCGGCGGUUGGGGAUGGACUCGCGGCUUAUCAGCUUGUUGGUGGGGUAGUGGCUUACCAAGGCUUUGACGGGUAGCCGGCCUGAGAGGGUGACCGGCCACAUUGGGACUGCGAUACGGCCCAGACUCCUACGGUAGGCAGCAGUGGGGAAUUUUGCACAAUGGGCGGAAGCCUGUUGCAACAACGUCGCGUGCGUGAUAACGGCCUUCGGGUUUUAAACAACUUUCGCCUGUGACGAAGAGUGAGUGACGGUAAUGGGUAAAGAAGCACCGGCUAACUACGUG
rnacentral:rRNA from 1 species